GAAGCAAGUGAAUUUCUUCUCUUACAGGCCAUAUUCUGGAGACUAAGAUAUCGUGUGAUGUUGCUGAUGUUGGUAGCCCUGUCUCACCAGCGAUAGAAAUCAACGGCAAUGUGACAAGUCAGACUGAAUGAGGAGGGAACCAACAAUGGAAUGAGAUGAAGAGUGUUGUUGAGCAUUGUUCAGGUACUGGGUACGGUACAGAGACAUAAUGGGUCCUGGUGUCAGAGGAAAUGAUGCUGCCGCACCAUACCAUCAUUUACUAGGUAAAAUUUUGGAGAAUUAGAAAACCUUGAUGGAGUUUGCUGCUGUGGGUGCUUUGCGACACCAAGUUAUGAACUGAGUUGCAAUGAAACAGAUGUGGCAAUGAACAUGAAAAAGCUUCAGUGAUGUGUCGUGUUGUAGAGAUUUGAUGAGAAUGGAUCUAGUACUGGUGAAGUUGCAUAGCACAAGUGUGUCUUAAUGACAGUGGAAAUGGGACCGCCACACCAUACCAAGAAUGUGGGGAAAAAUUUUGGAGAAUUAGAAAACCUGGAAGGAGUUUGCUGCUGUGGGUGCGUUG